rnacentral:lncRNA from 1 species
GUGGAAUCCUGGUUUUGAGUAGAAUAGACGUUAUUUAUUUCAAGACCUCUCAGAAUUUCUCAGAUCCUAUUGUGAGCAAAUCAUGUUUUUCCAUAAACAGAUCCAUUCACCUUCUAAGAAAUGUCGUUCUACAUCCCAGAUGACCUUCCCAAACUGUUACACUGCUCGCUUACUGGUUUAGAAAAUUUAAACUUAUUUUUCACCUGUAAGUAUGAAAAUAAUGAUGAUGUCUCUUGUACUUCUUUUGCACAUUAUUUAUUUAUAUGUGCACUUUUCUCUCCUCUUUAUUACACCCACUGUGGCUGUGACUAUCUUUUAAAAUGUUUGGUCAUGGAGAUCUCAAAACCUGUACCUCACCAGAAUCAGUCAAGGGAUUGUGAAUUCCAUUUACUAAUGGAGUUUUUUUUUUUUUUUUGUCUUUUCAUCUUCAUCUUUAAAGGACAAAAAGCACAGGAUAGCUUGAAAGCUCCGGUGUGAUAAUCUUUGAUUCCGCAUUUAAAGCCUCAUUGGUAGCAUACACAGGCAAGUCUUGCAACAGAGAAAACAUCGUACAACCCCACUGUAAAAGAAAUGUAGACCCCAGACGGUGAUACACUGACCAGGAAAUGUGUCCCUCUAAAACUCCAUCAUGGAAGAAACUUACAGAAGCUGCCUGAAUAAUUUUGUUAAUUAAAAAAGAUUUGGGUGAUUAAGUACUUUUAAUAUAAUGAGAAUUAAAUUCCACUGGUAAAUUAGAAUAACAAUCUCUCCAGACUCAGAUCUUAACAUCUUGUCAUUCUGUAGUGUAGCUUAAUUAGCAUGUUUAUUUCUGGGAUUAGAAAUCUGUCCGCUCAGGUAAUUACUAUGGUGUCAAGCCUACUCUACUGUUUCUCUUGAUUGUAAGAAUAAUCUGUGGUUUUCCUCUUUCUCUCAUAAUGAUUGCCAUUAUCUAUUUGAUGACAUCUUUUGACACACAAAAACUAAAAUACAGAGUACAUAUUCUAGCACAACA